UGAUGUGUUUUGGCAUGGCUUUGAAUGCAAUACUUCUGUUUGUAUAUUUGGUGCUUCAUUUGAACCAAUAUGGAUUGUUUUGUGCAUGAAUUGAACUUGAUGGAUGAUAUAAACAUGAGACCAAGGAUGUUUGCUCUUGUUUGAUGUUAAUUUGAUGUUGGAUGGUGGAUACCUUGCUGUUUUAACUUUUUUCUUGCUUUGGGACCCUAGGCUUGGCCUAGUGGUCUAGUUGCUAAUAUUUGCUUGAUUUUUC
rnacentral:lncRNA from 1 species